GGGCUUACCAAAAUUUCGGCACAUUUCCUCCCCUUUUAUAGUAAAUAGUUUAUUGAGAGAGUCAGGCAAUUUCAUAAUCUUAAAAAAAAUAAUAAUAAUUAUGCCCAAAUAAUGAUUCAGAUAAUUAAGAUAACCCAGGGAGGUUUUUGUUAGUUUUUCAGGAAGAUGCUUGCUAGUAAGUCUGGAUGCACAAGAGGGCACACUCAGCAUAUGAAAUUGGUUUAUUUUUCAUAGUGAUGAAAUAUGUAUUACCUUAAGGCUCUCUUAAAAAUAGACCUUACCUGGAGUUCUCUAGUGAUGGCAGUGAGUUAAGGAUCCAGCAUUGUCAGUGCAGUGGCUUGGGUUGCUGCUGUGGUGCUGGUUCAGUUCCUGGCCUGGUAACUUUCACAUGUGGGUGUGCUCCCCACCCCCCCAAAAAAAGAUAGACCUUUCCUGAUUUAGUUAGGGAUUUCAUUUAAAGUUAUUUGGCCCUCAGGCACUGCAGCUAGGCUCUAAGCCCAGUGCCAGUGUCAGGGCUUGUCUGUUCUAUCACCCUUAUUGUCUCCCAACAAUACAACAACCAGCGCAGCACUGAAGUCAGGGAGGAGAAAGUAGAGCUAGUGUAUACUGGGUUGGUCUCUGAGCCUAAUAACAUGUGUUAACUUGGUGACCCUGGGAAAAUUACUUAUCUUCUUUCAAUUUCAGUUUCCUCAACUGUAAAAAUGUAGAUAACAGUGUACCCAGCUCUUAGGAUUGUUGUGAGAACAUAGGGGAAAGAAAUCCCCAAGCUAAUGCCUUACUAAUCCAUACUAAGUACCCAAUAAAUGUUAAUUGCUAUUAUGGAUUAUUAUUUUUUAUUAGGCACAAAUAUUCUAGGUACUUGUAAGUGCUUCGUAUAUGUUUCUUCCAUUCAUAACUGUGACAGACUUUUGAGAUAGUUUUUUGUUGUGGUUGUUUUUAGGGCCUCACCUGCAGCACAUAGAAGUUCCCAGGCUAGGGGUCAAAUCUGAGCUAUCUAUGGCUGCUGGCCUACACCACAGCCACAGCAAUGUGGGAUCCAAGCCUCAUCUUGGACCUUCACCACAGCUUCACCCGGCAGUGCCAGAUCCUUAACCCACUGAGCAGGGCCUGGGAUUGAACUCUUGUUCUCAUGGAUACUAGUUGGGUUCAUUACCACUGAGCCAUGACAGGAACUCCUGAGAUAGGUUUUAUAUCCAAUUUUUAUCCAUUUAAGAAUAUGAAGUAAUGCACAUAAAUGAUUUAGUUGAAGGAGUUCCAUUCGUGGCUUAGUGGGUUAAGGAUCUGACAUAGUGUCUGUGAGGAUACGGGUUCCAUCCCUGGCCUUGCUCAGGGGGUUAAGGAGCCAAUGUUGCCCCAAGCUGCAGCCUAUAGGUUGCAUAUGCAGCUCGGAUCUGUCGUUGCUUUGACAGUGAUGUAGGCCAGCAGCUGCAGCUCCUAUUUGACUCUUAGCCCAGGAGCUUGCAUAUGCCAUAGGUGUCGCCCUAAAAAAACCCAAAAACAAUAGCAAAAAAAAAGAUUUAGUUGAAUACCUGUCUGAUGGUAAGCAAUAAAAUGUGAUAGCUACUGUUGUUUUAGAUAAUGGACAUCUGACUUUGAGGAUAGGUAACUUUUCAAGCCCCUACACCCAGUAGGAGGGGCUGAGAUUUACACCCAACUCUAUUGGUUCCAGAGGCCUAAGUUCUUAUUUCUAUGCUUUUACUUUCUUUUAAGGAACUAAGAGCCUAAAAAGGCAGAACAUUUUAAGGAGGAUGUUUGCAUGUACAACUUCAUUAUAGUGAUAGAAGAUAUUCAUUUACUUUGAGCACAACUAAGAUUUGUUUCUCUGGACCUGAAGCAGAUAGGAGAAAGCGAUUCCUUCUGGUGGUGGGGGGGACAGGGGUGAGUGCUGGCGUCAGUGUACAUCUUAGUGCUUCUUAAGACUGUAAGCCUCUCCUCCAUGAUGGCUCGUCCCCUAGAUUCUCGCUCCUCUGAGCUCUGGCAAUCCUCCAUGCUUGUUCAGCAUUCGCUGUAGACUACUUUAUUUUUUGAAUUUUCUUUCUUCUUUUUUUUUUUUUUUUUUUUUUUUUUUUGGUCUUUUUGCCAUUUCUCGAGCCACGUCUGCAACCUUACACCACAGCUCACGCCAACGCCAGAUCCUUAACCCGCUGAGCAAGGCCAGGGAUCGAACUCGCAACCUCAUGGUUCGUAGUCAGAUUCGUUAACCACUGAGCCACCAAGGGAACUCCUGAAUUUUCAAGUCUUUAGCUCCUGCUUUGUUAUCUAGGGUAGAGAAAAUAUCUCACUCUUGGUUUCCCCGUUCUUGCUCCAGCACCUGACCCAUAAGAGGUGCUUUACCCUUACGCAUGCUGACGAUGAUCAUGCAUUGCUAGAUGGUUUUGAACCUCUACUGAGGCCUCUAUGUCAUGAGCCUCAUGCUGGACUUCCUAAUGCUUAGCGAUCGGUACUAGUGAUCCUAGGCUGUCUUUCCCUAAUCUGCCUCCAAAGUCCAGUUCUGGAUUGAUCUUUUGACCCAGAGGGAAUUAAUGCUGGCCAGCUCUUGUCCAAGAGUCCUCUUGUAGGUCCAGCUGGAUGGUCACGGUGUGUAUGACUUCUGGCCAAGGAUUCAUUCAGGCUGGUGUUAAAAUCCACACAUCGGAUACUGUGUCUUUCCCUCCUGUCUGGAGGUGCUCAACUGGUCCUUCAGUGUCUGAUUGAGUAUACCUUACUGAUGGUGUAAAAACAAUAAAAGAUCUUGGUUUUCUUUUUCUUUUUUUUUUAGGGCUGCAAUUGAGGCAUAUGGAAGUUCUCAGGCUAGGGGUCUAAUUGGAGCUGUAGCUGCUGGCCUACACCACAGCCACAGCAACGCCAGAUCCAAGCCGCAUCUGUGACCUACACCACAGCUCAGGGCAACUCCAGAUCCUUAACCCACUGAGCAAGGCCAGGGACUGAACCUCCAUCCUAAUGGAUACUAGUCAGAUUUGUUUCCACUGAGCCAUGACGGGAGCUCCUUGGUUUCUUUUUAAAAUCAUAACUAGAAGAGAUAUUUUUCACAAUUUCUUAAUUUUUUGCCUUUGAAACAUUGUAGGUAUAUAAAGCAUUUGAUAUCUAGGGUAGAAAAAUUUUAGAGAUCCUGCUGUAUGGCACUGGGAACUCUAGUCACUUGUGAUGGAGCCUGAUGGAGGAUAAUGUGAGAAAAAGAAUGUAUACAUGUAUGUGUGACUGGGUCACUUUGCUGUACGGUAGAAAAUUGACAGAACACUGUAAACCAACUAUAAUGGAAAAAAUAAAAAUCAUUAAAAAAGCUCUAAAAAAAGGGAAAAAUUUUGAAGAUAAUUGCAAUUUGUGAAAUAGAAACUCCACUGCUACAAUAUAGUGAUCAAAAAUUUGCUCCCUCUUUUUUCCAGGGCAAUCAUGACCCAUUCAUCUGUGCCUAAGAGUGACAGAGAAGUCCUUGGAAUUAGAGACACACUGAUUCGACUCUCUGUGGGCUUAGAGGAUAAACAAGACCUAAUGGACGAUCUAGAUCAAGCUUUGAAGGCAGCACAUCCUACAAAUGCAAGUCACAACUAGCAUUCCAGAAUUGCUGUUAGAAGUUGCUUCCUGAGAAGACCAAAACUUCUGAAUAAUUGAAUGGACCAUUAAAGAGCCUUUGCACAAUUUUCAGGUGAAAAUUCCAAGGCACCUCAUAACCUUUCACAACUAUAAUCUUCUAGAGAUCAUCCCUGAUAAAAAGUUUCCCUUUUGUAAUUGACAGAUAAUUCUGUGAAUGUCUUUUUGUUAAUUUGUGUCUGAAGUAGGUGAUAUUUGUGCUGCUAUUGGAGAUUGUGUUCUUUUUUCAAGCUUAAGGUUUAUAUUGAUCAUGUUUACAGUAUAGUGGUAAUUCAUUUUGAUGUUUUCUGAGGAGUUUAAAUUAUUAAAUGAAUAUUCUUAAAUCUAGUGUGAUUUUUGUAUAUUGUUGGAAACAGCACUCAAAGUGAUGGUUUACACUUAAUUAUCAUAAGCCAAAAAUUAAAUAUCUGAAAAGUCUGUGAAAUUCUACUGAUUCAAGUUUGUACAAUUAAAAAAAAUAAAUAUAAUUAUCAAAUGCAU
rnacentral:lncRNA from 1 species